CCCCCGCCAGCGCACUGGGGCUCACGGGCUCCGUGUCCGGGGGCAGGGAGGCCGCGGCGGAGGGGCCGCGGGGCCGCCGCCAGCAGCGCCGGCGGGGGGAGCGGCAGCAGCAGGAGGAGGAGGAGGAAGAGGAGAAGGAGAUUGAAGAUAGGCAGGCCGAGAUGAGCAGGAGGAAUGUGCCUCAGAGGUAAAGAUGAGGAAUAUGCUCUUGAAAAGAGGGUGACUGCACCUGAAGGCACUGCUCAGAAGAGGAAGGUGUAUGCUAAUGAGCGAGAUCUCCACUAGUCUCCAUUAUAUUAUCACACUUAGAGCACACUGCUUCCAUCAAGUGGGCCUGAGAGGAGGGUGAUCCAUGGACCUGAUAUGAAAUGCCUUUUCCAUCUAGUUGUGCAGUGUUUGGUUUUCUAGAGUGAACAUGUUGCUGUGGAGUUUCUUGUCCCAAAUUUGGAACGAUGUGUUAAUAAAUUAUAAAACUGCUA